rnacentral:ncRNA from 1 species
GCAGAGUAGAGAUGAGCGCGUUAAGUGUCAGACGGACGGGGAGUUGCCGGCUGAACGAAAAGUAUUUAUACUUGCGGUGCGCAUUUCGCAUCCCGCUGC